GUGCUCGCUUUGACAGCACAUCUACUAAAACUGGGGCAAUACAGAGAUGAUUAGUAUGUCCCUUGUGCCAGGAAGACAUGUAAAUUCGUAAAGCUGAAGAUUU